GACGAACGCUGGCGGCGUGCCUAAUACAUGCAAGUAGAACGCUGAAGGAGGAGCUUGCUUCUCUGGAUGAGUUGCGAACGGGUGAGUAACGCGUAGGUAACCUGCCUGGUAGCGGGGGAUAACUAUUGGAAACGAUAGCUAAUACCGCAUAAUAGUAGAUGUUGCAUGACAUUUGCUUAAAAGGUGCAAUUGCAUCACUACCAGAUGGAUCUGCGUUGUAUUAGCUAGUUGGUGGGGUAACGGCUCACCAAGGCGACGAUACAUAGCCGACCUGAGAGGGUGAUCGGCCACACUGGGACUGAGACACGGCCCAGACUCCUACGGGAGGCAGCAGUAGGGAAUCUUCGGCAAUGGACGGAAGUCUGACCGAGCAACGCCGCGUGAGUGAAGAAGGUUUUCGGAUCGUAAAGCUCUGUUGUAAGAGAAGAACGAGUGUGAGAGUGGAAAGUUCACACUGUGACGGUAUCUUACCAGAAAGGGACGGCUAACUACGUGCCAGCAGCCGCGGUAAUACGUAGGUCCCGAGCGUUGUCCGGAUUUAUUGGGCGUAAAGCGAGCGCAGGCGGUUAGAUAAGUCUGAAGUUAAAGGCUGUGGCUUAACCAUAGUACGCUUUGGAAACUGUUUAACUUGAGUGCAAGAGGGGAGAGUGGAAUUCCAUGUGUAGCGGUGAAAUGCGUAGAUAUAUGGAGGAACACCGGUGGCGAAAGCGGCUCUCUGGCUUGUAACUGACGCUGAGGCUCGAAAGCGUGGGGAGCAAACAGG
rnacentral:rRNA from 1 species